UGGGGAAUUUUGGACAAUGGGGGAAACCCUGAUCCAGCCAUUCCGCGUGAGUGAAGAAGGCCUUCGGGUUGUAAAGCUCUUUCAGGAGGGAAGAAACGGUUGCAGCUAAUAUCUGCGACUAAUGACGGUACCUUCAGAAGAAGCACCGGCUAACUACGUGCCAGCAGCCGCGGUAAUACGUAGGGUGCGAGCGUUAAUCGGAAUUACUGGGCGUAAAGCGUGCGCAGGCGGUUUUGUAAGUCAGAUGUGAAAGCCCCGGGCUCAACCUGGGAACUGCGUUUGAAACUACAAGGCUAGAGUGUAGCAGAGGGGGGUAGAAUUCCACGUGUAGCAGUGAAAUGCGUAGAGAUGUGGAGGAAUACCGAUGGCGAAGGCAGCCCCCUGGGUUAACACUGACGCUCAUGUACGAAAGCGUGGGGAGCAAACAGG
rnacentral:rRNA from 1 species